AAUUUUAGUCAUUCAUGAUAUAUAAAGUGUUGAUAGUAUUUUUUUCCUCAGAUAACCAUUGCUGAAUCAACAAGAAGGAUAUACAGAAGAUUUUGGUUGAAAACAAGAGAACUUAAAAAAAAAUUAGACACAUCUUACGUAAUAGAUUAUUUCAAGAAGCACCACAACAUACCAUACAAAACCAUGAGUCUUCUUUUAAGCACCUACGGAAGCGGGUCUCUUAAGGUCAAAAACAUAUGGAGUCAUUGGGUUGACCAUAUUAUGCAGAAACAUUCAAAGUUGGUCAUCACAGGGGCAGCUUUAAUACGUCACAAUGGAGAAACAGCAGCAGUAUCGAAAGGUUUUACUGUCUCAGAUGAAGACUUAAUUAAUGUCAAGAAGUGUUUAGAUAAUGAGAAGGCUGAAACUAUACGGAUAAAAGGUGUGACGUAUUGCAUCAAAACACGUGAUCCUGGGCAAUUUGUUUCGUUUAAUGGACAAACAUACAUUAUUGUUUGCAAAACAAACUGUUUAUAUAUAAUUGCCAUGUGUAAAUCAAGACAAACAAGUGGAAAAGCAGCCGAAUGGAUUAAAAAGAUUGCAGAAAUGAUAAAAGCAAAAAAAUGCUAGCAUAAGUUUUCUUUCGAUUUCUAUCAUAUUUAACAAUGAUCUGAAAAAUUCAUAAGCAUCUGAAGAACGGUAAAAAAUAUUUUGCAUAAUAUCGAUAUUGACAUUACCAGCUCCUUAUGGCCUAUAAAGUUGUCAAAGACAAUUCAGUUCCGAAUGCCGAAAAGAGAGUCGCAGAGAAUCGAUAUCGUUCUGAAUGCCACAAAAGGAGUCACGGACAAUUGUUAGAAUGGCGUCAAGUAAAUCAUUACUGGUUUAAUGGUUUAAAAUUCUUGGGAAAUAUAAGGCAGGAAACAGUAUGACGAAAGAUACGAAAAAAUGAAGAUAUUUGGCUGUAUGAAAAAUGCAUUUUAGGAUACAGUCAAGCCAAUACUAUGAACAAGUGUGGUAUACUUAUAGACAUAUUUGACAAUAUCACGACAGAAUCUCGCGUUCACAUGUUGUAUUAUUCAUAAAAUGUGUCUUGAAAUUCUUUUCAAUGUUUUCAUUUCAGUUCCAUUGAUGACUUUUAAUCAACUAUAAGAAAAUAGUCAAAAUUCUCCUACUACUAUAUUAUAUACAUAUUAUCUUAUCACUUGCAUUGAACCAAAAAUAUUUUUUUUUGAAAAGUUCAAAUUGAUCAGAACUUCAUUUUAUUUUUUUAUAAAUUUGGAUUUUACUAUUUUUGAAACACAUGUACAAUACAUUUUGAGUGAUAUAUAUGGUUGAAAUAAAUAAAUUUUACUAAAGCAUCAUUGUAUGUGAUCAAUUCAAACAGAGGUGGCUUAGGGCUAACAAAAAAAAGCAAAAGACUUAAAUUAUAUAUAAACUGUACCUUCUGUUUAGACAAAUAUUUUAAAAUUCAGAAUGAGUAAUCAUAAAACUCGAGUUUAACUUGAAAAAUGUAUAGAACGGGAAAAUAAAAAGUGUUGUCGGUGUUAUCUAGACAUUAAGGAUAAAUUAAAUUACAUUAUAAAUAUUAUUCAGAAACAAAA